rnacentral:rRNA from 1 species
UACAGAGGGGGCAAGCGUUAUUCGGAAUUAUUGGGCGUAAAGGGCGCGUAGGCGGCUUUGCAAGUGACGGGUGAAAUCCCUCGGCUUAACCGAGGAACUGCCUGUCAGACUGCAUGGCUUGAGACCGGGAGAGGUGAGUAGAAUUCCCAGUGUAGCGGUGAAAUGCGUAGAUAUUGGGAGGAACACCAGUGGCGAAGGCGGCUCACUGGACCGGUACUGACGCUGAGGCGCGAAAGCGUGGGGAGCAAACAGG